GAGCCGCCGAGAUCAAUGGCAGAGGCAAUCUGAAGUUCAUGCCUGCUAGUUUCAUGGCCAGCAGGCUCUGGAGUCCGUAGAUGUAGGAUCUUGCGAUCUUUGCCUAACAUGACAAAGUCAAAAAAACAGCGAUUGCAGGCGUGAAUCUGACGGAGGAUGAAAUAACAGGUAGGACCAUUACAGACGGCGAAGAAAGUGUCCCGAAGGUGUGGAAGGGUCUGGGAUAGGGACACCAAGUACCUCCUCAUGGCGGAGAGAGUCGCCUUCAGAGCUUGACGGGAGAAGCGGCGAGAGGCAGAGUCAACAGAAUGCAGAACAGAAGCCUGAAGUCCCACACCACCAAGUUCAGGAACAGCUACUUUCCUACAGCCAUCAGUGCCAGCCGCCUGGGUUUGAUCCUGAUCUCAGGUGCUAUUUGUGUGGAGUUUACAUGUUCUCCCUGUGAUGGUAUGCAGUUCCCCACACAGCCCAAAGCCGUACAGAAACAGCAAUGAAGAAUCUGUCUACAUCUGAGAGUGACAGAAUUCCUGAGUCUCCACCUGGGACUUGUGUGACUGACAGUAAACGGAGAGGAAGCUACUGACAUGAUGAAGGAAGCCCCGAACACUGCCAGAGAUGGAGGACUUCAUUGCUGCCCUAAACGCCAGUGGUGUAAUGGGCAAUAAAUGCUGCUUAUCUGAUGCUAUGUGCCGUGACGCUGCUUUUUCUGUUACCAGGUUCGGAAAUGCCCAAGUGUGGAGUGAGAGACAGCGAAGCAGGUCAUAGUUCACAGACUUUAAUAUGAACAGUGUUAAAGGGAAAAUAAAACAAUAAACGCUAGGCCAAACAGGGACAUUAACUAAAACUCUCAAAAGGAAAACAAAGCCUACACUGCGGCUGAAAAGAACUAACCAUUAAACAAAUACUGCUAAUCUUCAGAGUCAGUUGACUUGAAAGUUCAAUGUCUCAGGGAAGGCUGAAUACAAACAGCAGCGUUGUUAUGCUCUGUCCAAGUCUCGACAAGCACUACGACAACAAGUAUGGAGUUAAAUACUGUCACGAUUAAAUAAUAAUUAGCUGACACGUGCAAAUUCACAAGCGCUAUUGCCGUAUCUACUGUGCUGCCAAAUCCGUGGUUGUGACACUUUUACUGGUUACGCUGCUGGCAUUGAGGGCGGCAGUGAAGGUCCUCGAUCUCUGGCGGUGUUCACGGCUUCCGUCGUCAUGUCAGCAGCUUCCUCUCGGUUUUCACUACCAUCAGCCAUACCAGACCCGGGGGAGACUCAGGAAUACUGUAGCACACAUGAUUCGAGGGAUUCUUAAUUGUUGUUUCUGUAACAGUUUUGGUUGACCAGUCAGAGUUGUUAGCCCUGAGAUGAAUCUCCAAACCUGGAGGAUUGGUGAACACUAUUAGUCUGGCGUCUACCCUUUGAUCUGUUUGGCAUGGGUGACCCUACCAAGAGCCAAAGCACAAAGCCCUGACUCCAGCCAACAUAGCUCUCCGGGUCAUUGAGGUACGCGAGCCUCCAAACCAUGACAAGGUUGGGGUCCACUUGGAGGUGUGACACUGCUUUCCAUUGCACCUGGGCGUACAUAGACCUGUGCAGAUAAGCAUUUGCUGUUUUAAUGUUGAUGUUGCUUGUGUUGUUCCACUGAACGUUAUCAACAUGCCAUGUUGGUGCCAGAAUGUGUGCUGACUGCCCCCAGCACAUCCAUAGGUUCUGCUGGCUGUUGAUGCAAACAAUGCACUUCACUCUAUGUUUCGAUGUAGCUGUGAUAACUAAAUGAAUAUGAACUGGAAUAAUCUUGACUUUGGAAAAUAAUGCUGCAGAAUAUUCUCUUUGACAAAAAGAAGCCCUUGCCAGAAUCAGAAUGAAAAUCAGGUUUAUUAUCACCUACACAUGUUGUCAAAUUUGCUGUUUGCAGCAGCAUGACAUAAAAAUUACAAAUGAAUGAUGAAAGAGUAGAAUAUGAGGUAGUGCUCAUUGGUUCAUGGACCAUUCAGAAAUCCGAUGGCUGAGGGGAAGAAGCUACCCUUAAAUUGCUGAGUGAGUGUCUUCAGGCUCCUGUACUUCCUCCCUGAUGACAGAAACAAGAAGAGGGCAUAACCUUCACGGUGAGAGCUCCUAGUGAUGGAUGUUGCCUUCUUGGAGCACUGGGUCUUGAUGCUGUCCGCUGCGGUGGGGAGGGUUGUGCCCGUGAUGGAACUGGCUGGGUCUACAACCCCCUGCAGCCUCUUGCUCCCCUGAGCACUGGGGCCUCCACAACAGGCAGCGAUGUAACCAGUCAGAAUGCUCUCCGACAUGCAUCUGCAGAAGAGUUUGGUGGCAUGCCAAAUCUUCUCAUUCCCUGAAAUAUUAUAUUCCGUCUGGGUAGCCUCCAACCUGAUGGCAUGAACAUUGACUUCUCUAACUUCUGUUAAUGCCCCACCUCCCCCUCGUACCCCAUCAGUUAUUUAUUUAUUUAUUAUUAAUUUUUUUUCUCUCUCUCUCUCUCUCUCCUUUUUCUCCCUCUGUCCCUCUCACUAUACUCCUUGCCCAUCCUCUGGAAUUCCCCUCUCCCGCUUUCUUUCUCCCUAGGCCUCCUGUCCCAUGAUCCUCU